ACGGGAAAAUGAAUAUAUUGUUCCUCAAUGUCAUUGAAUUUCCAUGAAAUGCGCGGUAAAGUCUACGUUGUUUUGUCACGUUGACGUCAUUUCAUUUUGAAUUAUCCGUUUUGGGGCUGUAAUCAGGUAAUGCGUUACGCUCUGCCAUGGAACGUGCAUAUAUAUCCCGGUGGCAUCUCUUUCUGACGGUAUAAGCAAACAAACGGAGUUUACUCCUCUGUACCUGUGCACUUUGGACACAGGAAGGAGUCACCUCUUCUAAUAACCCUGACUGGGGAACAGAAUCCAAGGUGUACCCAGCCAUUGCAUUUAUCACAGCAUGCCCAAGAGACUAUGGUUAGACUGAUGCAAUUCUUGAGCUCCUCAGGAUGGAAUUUUUGACAAAUGCAGCACACAUCAGUGUCAUCUUCAGAUUCAGAAGAGGAAGAGUAUUCUGUCUGGGCUGCCUGAAUACCAGAUGUACUCGGAAUGGGUUCAGUGACGGAAGAGCCUUGCAUCAGUAUUGCAGUCAUCAACAG
rnacentral:lncRNA from 1 species